CAGACUUCAGAGGUCUCACUGAAGUGUAUUAAUGUUUAGAUUUUAUCUUUAAAAUGCAUGGCUGUGAGCAAUCAAAUAAUAUAAUAAAAUAUAAUAACCCAUUUAGUUUCUACCAGUUUAUGUCUCGUGGCUCGCGCUGGGAGGUCCAAACUGGUCCACGCAGUGCGGUUAAAACCCGCCCGCUCCACGCUGUCCAGUGGCUUGCGCAGGGAUUUUGUCCGCGCUACGCGGUUCUUCUGUCGAACUCGGUUUGGAUCAACUUUUGAGUUGUUUGGCUUCCCAUAGUUAAGAAUCUCAAAUUGCGGUCAUAUACUGCUUAAAACUCCAGCACUCUAUAAUAAAACAUCCCCACGGAGCCCUGUAUCCCUGAUUGUUUUUUUUCCAGAGAAAAAUGGAACGAAAACGUUUCGUAAUAUAUAGGAUUGUAGGUUUACUGUGGGAAGAUGGAAGGUCUUCAUUAUGAUUAAUCCAGAUUUUUUUAUUAUUUCCUGAAGCUCUUCUCUGAGUUAAUGCAGUCUUUUCUCUCUGCUGUGUGGGACUGCCUCAUAUUGUCAUGCAUUAUAUAACGGGUGCCCACUGCCUUGGUCUUGUCAUCAUGGAGGCGUGAGUUGUGGAAAUUACCACGAAGGCAGGGAGUAAGCUCUUUCAGUUUCAUUUUCCUUUAUUUUUACUUUCCCAUAAAUUAUUCUAAGCCUGUGGUCACCCACCCUGGAUCUCAAGCCUGGAAAUCAGCUUUCCUUUCAAGUUCAGACACCUCAGAAGACGUGUACUAACUAACAAGCACAAGCUUUCCAUGCUUUACAAUGUGUCACAACUUUGUGCAGGGUGUUUUCUGGAGUCUAAUGAUAGACAGCGUAGCUUAAAAUAGAUUAAAUGAAAUAUUUCUAAAAUCAUGUUUAAGAAAGACAGCAUACUGUAAAGGAACAACUGAAAUCGGAGUUAAUCUACUGCCAGUGAAUCAUGAUAACCGGUGAUAUAGGCAUAUGUGGUAUGCUACUGAUUUUGCCUAGUGCAGUAUUUUGAAUGCACAUAUCGGCGACGCUAUAUAGACUAACGAAUGUGACAGCAGGAGCAUGACCCUUUUAUCACAAUUAGCACCGUUUGACACUGUAAUAUACAGUUGUGAAAGGGAAAUGACUCAUAAUCUGUUAUCACCCAGAAGAAAAUGGGUUUCUACUUUCAUGUUGAUACUGGUUUCUCUAAAGCUUUCUUACUAAUGUUUACUCAGGAAGUUUUCCCUUACCAAGGUUACCUCUGGCUUGCUCAUUUGGGAUCUAAAACUAUAUCCAUAUUUCUGUAAAGUUGCUUUGUGAUAAUGUGCACUGUUAAAAGCUGUAUGUAAAUAAAAUAUUUAAAAAAUCACUCAUCCAUUUACCCCGCUUUGUGCCCGACGCUCCCUGGGAUUGGCUCCAGGUUCCCCCGCGACCCUGAAGAAGGAG
ensembl:lncRNA